GAGGGUCUUGCUUCAACAGUGAUUGAACGGAACUC
rfam:Pimephales promelas ferritin heavy chain mRNA, complete cds.